UAACCAUGCAAGUCGAGCGGAUGACAGGAGCUUGCUCCUGAAUUCAGCGGCGGACGGGUGAGUAAUGCCUAGGAAUCUGCCUGGUAGUGGGGGACAACGUUUCGAAAGGAACGCUAAUACCGCAUACGUCCUACGGGAGAAAGCAGGGGACCUUCGGGCCUUGCGCUAUCAGAUGAGCCUAGGUCGGAUUAGCUAGUUGGUGAGGUAAUGGCUCACCAAGGCGACGAUCCGUAACUGGUCUGAGAGGAUGAUCAGUCACACUGGAACUGAGACACGGUCCAGACUCCUACGGGAGGCAGCAGUGGGGAAUAUUGGACAAUGGGCGAAAGCCUGAUCCAGCCAUGCCGCGUGUGUGAAGAAGGUCUUCGGAUUGUAAAGCACUUUAAGUUGGGAGGAAGGGUUGUAGAUUAAUACUCUGCAAUUUUGACGUUACCGACAGAAUAAGCACCGGCUAACUCUGUGCCAGCAGCCGCGGUAAU
rnacentral:rRNA from 1 species